rnacentral:misc_RNA from 1 species
AUCGAACUGCUUCCCUCACUUUCGAUCAAGUUUUGCUCCAUGAGCUAAUGUGGAUGCAAAAAGCGGGUUCCUGUGUUGCAUACCCUAUUGCGACGGAAAUUUGUGCCUAUUGUUGUCCCUUUCAACGCGACAUCCUCUUUGGGUGCUCGGUUGGACUAGAUAGUGGGGCUUGUGUUCCUCGAACAUCUCGUUUGAUUGUUCGGAUGGACCGCGAGUGCUUACUUGUUCUCUCGGAUGCGGAAUUUUGUUCAUGGGUGUUGGGGUCAUCGGCCCUUGUUCCCAAUCUCAAGCGUUUAUCGCUUUACUGGAAUGACGAUCUUGCCUUGUCCUUGACCGCGUGGAGCUCGCGGGCUUCACGAUGGGAUCAUGCUUGGCGGACGUCGUGAAGGAAUGCU